AUUGAACGCUGGCGGCAUGCUUUACACAUGCAAGUCGGACGGCAGCACAGAGAAGCUUGCUUCUUGGGUGGCGAGUGGCGAACGGGUGAGUAAUAUAUCGGAACGUACCGAGUAAUGGGGGAUAACUAAUCGAAAGAUUAGCUAAUACCGCAUAUUCUCUGAGGAGGAAAGCAGGGGACCUUCGGGCCUUGCGUUAUUCGAGCGGCCGAUAUCUGAUUAGCUAGUUGGUGGGGUAAAGGCCUACCAAGGCGACGAUCAGUAGCGGGUCUGAGAGGAUGAUCAGCCACACUGGGACUGAGACACGGCCCAGACUCCUACGGGAGGCAGCAGUGGGGAAUUUUGGACAAUGGGCGCAAGCCUGAUCCAGCCAUGCCGCGUGUCUGAAGAAGGCCUUCGGGUUGUAAAGGACUUUUGUCAGGGAAGAAAAGGCUGUUGCUAAUACCGACAGCUGAUGACGGUACCUGAAGAAUAAGCACCGGCUAACUACGUG
rnacentral:rRNA from 1 species